rnacentral:rRNA from 1 species
GAUGAACGCUAGCGGCAGGCUUAAUACAUGCAAGUCGGGGGCCCAGCAAUGGGACCGGCGAACGGGUGCGUAACACGUAUGCAACCUACCUAUAUCAGGGGGAUAGCCCUAGGAAACUGGGAUUAAUACCGCAUAAUAGAAUUGAUGGCAUCAUUAAUUUUUGAAAGAUUUAUCGGAUAUAGAUGGGCAUGCGUAGGAUUAGCUAGUUGGUAAGGUAACGGCUUACCAAGGCUACGAUCCUUAGGGGCUCUGAGAGGAGUGACCCCCACACUGGCACUGAGAUACGGGCCAGACUCCUACGGGAGGCAGCAGUAGGGAAUAUUGGGCAAUGGAGGCAACUCUGACCCAGCCAUGCCGCGUGCAGGAAGACGGUCCUCUGGAUUGUAAACUGCUUUUGAAUGGGAAGAAUGUGCGGCUUGCGAGCUGUAAUGACGGUACCAUUAGAAUAAGCCACGGCUAACUACGUGCCAGCAGCCGCGGUAAUACGUAGGUGGCGAGCGUUAUCCGGAUUUAUUGGGUUUAAAGGGUGCGUAGGCGGCUUUAUAAGUCGGUGGUUAAAGGUAGCAGCUCAACUGUUUUACAUGCCACCGAUACUGUAGAGCUUGAGUUAUUUGGAGGCAGCUAGAAUUUCCGGUGUAGCGGUGAAAUGCUUAGAUACCGGAAGGAAUACCGAUUGCGAAGGCAGGUUGCUACGAAUUUACUGACGCUGAUGCACGAAAGCGUGGGGAUCAAACAGGAUUAGAUACCCUGGUAGUCCGCGCAGUAAACGAUGAUUACUAGUUGUUGGAGGUAACUUCAGUGACCAAGGGAAACCGAUAAGUAAUCCACCUGGGGAGUACGCCGGCAACGGUG